rfam:Palleronia marisminoris strain CECT 7066 genome assembly, contig: 0011
GGAUCGGGCGGUCGUCUGUGGGAGGACGACCAGGUAUGGAUCCGGCCCCCCCGUUUCGCCCGGAUGUCCGGCCUUUCCCCAGGGGUCGCGCA